AAGUCGUAACAAGGUUUCCGUAGGUGAACCUGCGGAAGGAUCAUUAGAGGUUUUAUAUAAAUCUAUAUAUCACUUUACACAUAAAAUUACUCUUUGGAGUAGGUCUUUCUAGGCUUUCCUACCCAGAGAGUGUCCUAAAGAAGCCUUUACCCUUUCCCAAUUUCAGUUUCCGAUUUUAUUUUUUUACCUCGUACAACUCUUAACGGUGGAUGACUCGGCUUCCGUAUCG
rnacentral:misc_RNA from 1 species